rnacentral:rRNA from 1 species
UGAUGGAUGAGCCUGCGGCGCAUUAGCUAGUGGGUAGGGUAAAGGCCUACCAAGGCGACGAGGCGUAGCCGACCUGAGAGGGUGGACGGCCACACUGGGACGGAGACACGGCCCAGCCUCCUACGGGAGGCAGCAGUAGAGAAUCUUCGGCAAUGGGCGAAAGCCUGACCGAGAAGGGGCCGCGUGAAUGAUGAAGGCCUUCGGGUUGUAAAAUAAUGGUAUAAGGGAAGAACGACUUUAUAGGAAAUGGUAGAG